CGGCCAAGUGUCAGAAACUGACAAAUAUAUUUUCCGCUGCUGCAUCAUCUGCACCAUCCUCAGCGGCACCUGCAGCUCUCGCGGCGUCGCCGUCUGGAGGACAACAUGACACGGAGGGGGAUGCUACUCAGGAGAGGUCUCGCUUGACUCAAGCAGUCCAGAUUUUGUGCCAUCAUUAUUUGUGUAUGCCGAAAAUCACAAUUUUAAAGCAAGGAUGGAAAGCAUCUGCCGCAUCAUCCACCUCCAGCGUCCGCCGCCAUCAUCCACCUCCAUCAUCCGCCUCCAGCAUCCACCACCAUCAUCCGCCUCCAUCAUCUGCCUCCAGCAUUCACCACCAUCAUCCACCUCCAGCAUCUGUCGCAUCAUCCACCUCUAUCAUCCUCCUCCAGCAUCUCCCGCCAUCAUCCGCCGCCCUGGCCCCUGAGUGGGCCAGUCAGGUACUAAAUUCCCGGGCCACUUUUUUGCCCCAGUCCGCCCCUGCCUAUUGGCAAAUUAAGCUAAGC